ACGAACGCUGGCGGCACGCUUAACACAUGCAAGUCGAACGAGAGAAGAGAAGCUUGCUUUUCUGAUCUAGUGGCGGACGGGUGAGUAACACGUGAGCAAUCUGCCUUUCAGAGGGGGAUACCGAUUGGAAACGAUCGUUAAUACCGCAUAAUAUAAUUGAACCGCAUGAUUUGAUUAUCAAAGAUUUAUCGCUGAAAGAUGAGCUCGCGUCUGAUUAGCUAGUUGGUAAGGUAACGGCUUACCAAGGCGACGAUCAGUAGCCGGACUGAGAGGUUGAUCGGCCACAUUGGGACUGGGACACGGCCCAGACUCCUACGGGAGGCAGCAGUGGGGAAUAUUGCACAAUGGAGGAAACUCUGAUGCAGCGAUGCCGCGUGAGGGAAGAAGGUUUUAGGAUUGUAAACCUCUGUCUUCAGGGACGAAAAAUGACGGUACCUGAGGAGGAAGCUCCGGCUAACUACGUGCCAGCAGCCGCGGUAAUACGUAGGGAGCGAGCGUUGUCCGGAAUUACUGGGUGUAAAGGGAGCGUAGGCGGGAUCGCAAGUCAGAUGUGAAAACUAUGGGCUUAACCCAUAAACUGCAUUUGAAACUGUGGUUCUUGAGUGAAGUAGAGGUAAGCGGAAUUCCUAGUGUAGCGGUGAAAUGCGUAGAUAUUAGGAGGAACAUCAGUGGCGAAGGCGGCUUACUGGGCUUUAACUGACGCUGAGGCUCGAAAGCGUGGGGAGCAAACAGGAUUAGAUACCCUGGUAGUCCACGCCGUAAACGAUGAUUACUAGGUGUGGGGGGACUGACCCCUUCCGUGCCGCAGCAAACGCAAUAAGUAAUCCACCUGGGGAGUACGACCGCAAGGUUGAAACUCAAAGGAAUUGACGGGGGCCCGCACAAGCAGUGGAGUAUGUGGAUUAAUUCGAAGCAACGCGAAGAACCUUACCAGGUCUUGACAUCGUAUGCAUAGCUCAGAGAUGAGUGAAAUCUCUUCGGAGACAUAUAGACAGGUGGUGCAUGGUUGUCGUCAGCUCGUGUCGUGAGAUGUUGGGUUAAGUCCCGCAACGAGCGCAACCCUUACUGUUAGUUGCUACGCAAGAGCACUCUAGCAGGACUGCCGUUGACAAAACGGAGGAAGGUGGGGAUGACGUCAAAUCAUCAUGCCCCUUAUGACCUGGGCCUCACACGUACUACAAUGGCUGUCAACAGAGGGAAGCAAAGCCGCGAGGUGGAGCAAACCCCUAAAAGCAGUCUUAGUUCGGAUUGUAGGCUGCAACCCGCCUACAUGAAGUCGGAAUUGCUAGUAAUCGCAGAUCAGCAUGCUGCGGUGAAUACGUUCCCGGGCCUUGUACACACCGCCCGUCACGCCAUGGGAGUCGGUAACACCCGAAGCCUGUAGUCUAACCGCAAGGAGGACGCAGUCGAAGGUGGGAUUGAUGACUGGGGUG
rnacentral:rRNA from 1 species